GCAAGUCGAACGAGACCUUCGGGUCUAGUGGCGCACGGGUGCGUAACGCGUGGGAAUCUGCCCUUAGGUACGGAAUAACUCAGAGAAAUUUGUGCUAAUACCGUAUGAUGUCGAAAGACCAAAGAUUUAUCGCCUAAGGAUGAGCCCGCGUAAGAUUAGCUUGUUGGUGAGGUAAAAGCUCACCAAGGCGACGAUCUUUAGCUGGUCUGAGAGGAUGAUCAGCCACACUGGGACUGAGACACGGCCCAGACUCCUACGGGAGGCAGCAGUGGGGAAUAUUGGACAAUGGGCGAAAGCCUGAUCCAGCAAUGCCGCGUGAGUGAUGAAGGCCUUAGGGUUGUAAAGCUCUUUUACCAGGGAUGAUAAUGACAGUACCUGGAGAAUAAGCUCCGGCUAACUCCGUGCCAGCAGCCGCGGUAAUACGGAGGGAGCUAGCGUUGUUCGGAAUUACUGGGCGUAAAGAGUACGUAGGCGGUUAUUCAAGUCAGAGGUGAAAGCCUGGAGCUCAACUCCAGAACUGCCUUUGAAACUAGAUAGCUAGAAUCUUGGAGAGGUGAGUGGAAUUCCGAGUGUAGAGGUGAAAUUCGUAGAUAUUCGGAAGAACACCAGUGGCGAAGGCGACUCACUGGACAAGUAUUGACGCUGAGGUACGAAAGCGUGGGGAGCAAACAGGAUUAGAUACCCUGGUAGUCCACGCCGUAAACGAUGAUAACUAGCUGUUCGGGCUCUACGAGCUUGAGUGGCGCAGCUAACGCAUUAAGUUAUCCGCCUGGGGAGUACGGUCGCAAGAUUAAAACUCAAAGGAAUUGACGGGGGCCUGCACAAGCGGUGGAGCAUGUGGUUUAAUUCGAAAGCACGCGCAGAACCUUACCAGCGUUUGACAUCCUAAUCGCGGUUUUCAGAGAUGAUUACCUUCAGUUCGGCUGGAUUAGUGACAGGUGCUGCAUGGCUGUCGUCAGCUCGUGUCGU
rnacentral:rRNA from 1 species